rnacentral:miRNA from 2 species
UUCACAGGGAGGUGUCAUUUAUG